AUAAUUUACCCCACUUUGAUUGGGACCACAUAUGCUACGUGAUCAGGAAAUGGAAAAAGUUAUGGCUCAUAGAAGGUGUAUGCAGAGGAGGAAGAAUACAGAGGUCAUCAUCUGCUCAUCAUCUGGGACCACCACCAGCAAACUCCUAAUCUGCUAGCUAUCCUCUAGUUAGUGGAUCUAAGGUUACACCUAGGUAGUGAUCAGAGGCCACUGCAAGGCAGUUUGCAUUUGGCUGCUAGGGAUCCAGGUUUCAUGGGUCAGGUGGCAGGAAACAGGUGUGGGCACACAGGUAGCAGGCCUACCAGAUGAAAAGGAGUAGCAGGACAGAAGUACAAGCCAAGAAAGUCAGUGGGAGCCAAAUCAAAAGACAAGUGGUUAAUCCAAAGACAAGCCAGAGUAAAUUCAGCAGGAUAGUCAAAUGAAAUGAAAACAUUAGAUGAUGGGUUAAACUACAGACAAGCCAAAGUAAGUUCACGAGGACAGUCAAUUAAAAUAAAAUCAAUAGACAAGGGGUUAAACUACAGACAAGCCAAAGUGAUUUCACGAGGAGUUUUAAGCAAGAGUAGAAAGCGGCACCAUUCACACAUGAAGAAACAGGAGCCAGAACACCUAUGAAUCACAGGCACUGACAAGGAGCAAAUGCCAGCUAGGAGAUUGAUGGUCAAGCCAGGAACCUGAUUGGCUCACUGUCCAGGCUCCCUGACAGAAACUUUCCUAGAACAGUGAUGCACUGUAUUGUGGAUUGGUAAAUUCCUGACCGUCCCAUUUGACUCAUCAGCUGGUCAUUUUUUCCUUAAAGCGGCUGUCCCGUUUGCUGCUUUAAGUACUUCCCCACUGGUCCCUAGGUGCCAUUUCAGAGCUGCAGGAGGGUUGUGUCUCUUCCUCACAGACAAGCGGUGCUACCUGCCUAUGUGUGCACGCUCUCAAGGUCCUGAAGUCUAUUCAUAGCUGUAUAGAACAGCUCCAAUAAGCAUGCCCUAGAGCUGUUCUAUACUAAAAACAAGAGGACAGACCAGGUGGUCAGGGUGAGAGCUACAGACAGAGGCAAUAUGAGGUGGCCAGGGAGGGGAGCUACAGACAGGCAAUACCAGGUGGUCAGAGAGGGGAGCUACAGACAGGCAAUACCAGGUGGUCAGGGAGGGGAGCUACAGACAGGCAAUAUCAGGUGGUCAGGGAGGGGAGCUACAGACAGGCAAUACCAGGUGGUCAGGGAGGGGAGCUACAGACACAGAGGCAAUACCAGGUGGUCAGGGAGGGGAGCUACAGACACAGAGGCAAUACCAGGUGGUCAGGGAGGGGAGCUACAGACAGGCAAUACCAGGUGGUCAGGGAGGGGAGCUGCAGACAGGCAAUACCAGGUGGUCAGGGAGGGGAGCUACAGACACAGAGGCAAUACCAGGUGGUCAGGGUGGGAGCUACAGCGCAUGUGUGCAAUCCCGGCCACCAGAAAAGCCAGCAUUCUUUGCAUUCAGUGUGCAAGCAUAGCCACAACUGCUGUAUUGCAGCAGUGCCCAUCACCUCAAGAGACGAGCCGUGUAUAAAAACCAGCAAAACUUAAAAAAAAAAAAAUUUGCAUUAUUGCUACAGAGAGUAUUUGGAUACAAAACAGAAAAAAAAAAAAAAAGAGAGAAAAGCCAAAACAAAGUCACAGAGGAUUGGACCGUCCCUGAAGAAAUAUGUCUGCUGCUCAGAUUAUUGGAGACGGAAACAGGGAGGGAAUUCUAAAGCAUAAAGUUCAAGAAGUAAAUAAAGAGGAGAAGAAAAUAAAGAAGAAAAGAGAAAUCUAAAUCCAAUCAAUGUUUGAUGUGACCGCCCUUUGCCUUUAGGUACACUUGCACAGUUUUUGAAGGAACUCAGCAGGGAGGUUGUCCCAAACAUCUUGGAGAACUAACAACAGAUCUUCUGUGGAUGUAGACCUUACUGGAGUAAGCAGGGACUUCAAAUAAAAAACUUUCACACUUGCACCAGACUUACUCCUGUAAGUUCUACAAUAUACUGAUGUCUGGAGGUCUCUGCCAUGAAUACAUCACACGGGCAACAUUUAGGUCAACAGAGUGACCCUCAAAUGCUAUUAUAGUGGAUGUGACUGUUCGCAACCACCAAAGUUGUGAGCAGUACCUACAACACAGCAUUUAUUUGAUUUGCUUGUCUUACUGUACUAACCUCUGCGCUGUUUUGUAGGCUGUGGAUGUAGGCUUGAUCAAAUCCUUCUGUCUCUUCAUGUAAUCUCAGGCAGACUGGAGGAUGUUGAGAUCAGGGCUCUUUGGGGGUGAUAUGAUCAAUUACAGGAUUCCUUGUUCUCCUUUACACUAAAGAUAGUUCUUAAUGACGGAUGUAUGUUUGGGGUAAUUUUACUGCUGCGAACUAAAUUUGGAGCCAAUCAGACCCUGAUGGUAUUGCAUGAUGGAUAAGUAUCUGCCUGUAUUUCUCAGCAUUGAGGACACUAUUAAUCCUGACCAUAUCUCCAACUCUGUGCUUGGACAGCAGGAAUCGCUUGGCACAGGAGCCUCUAAGCAUUGACCCUUUGUGCUUUAUAGCACCCACAUCACACUGUACAUUCCUUUAUAGCUCUUUGAUGUGGGUUCUGUGAGUGUAGCAGGAGCCACUCUCAGGUACACUGGUGAGUGGGUAGCACAUCAUUGUUUGCCCCUCAACCCUCAACCCCGGCUGAUGAGCGUUGGCCACAAUGUCCUCUACAGUAUAAACAAUUUGGUGUCAAGUCUUCCGCUAUUGGCCUUCAUAUAUACAGUAUUUUCCAGACUAUAAGAUGCACUGGCUCUUGCCCCUCCCACAUAUGACAUUAAAGGUCCUUUAGCUUUAUGUGAUCAGAGUUUUCAUCUCCCUGUACUUUAGGACCGUGUUCCUCAUCAAGAUCCUACAUCCUCCUGUCUGCCCUGAUCAUACAGAUCGGUAUCAGUCAGAGAGAGAGAAUUUGGCAGAGGCAUAGCUCUCUCAUUGAUCCAGCAGAGCGCUGUAUGAGUCCUCUGCCGGAUCACUAAGGAAGCCUUCAGUGGGUAAAUGCCUUAGCAUGUCAUGUGGUCAUCCAACCUCAUGGUGGCACAAAACUAAGAUAUAUAUAUAUAUAUAUAUAUAUAUAUAUAUAUAUAUAUAUAUAUAAUUACAAUAUGGACGUUAUUACAGGUGGAAGGACUUAUGAUGGCAAUAGCUUUAAUUUUAUUUUGAAAAGAACACAAAAUAUGUGUCAAAUUAUUCUACAGAAUUUAGUUUUUGAAAAUGUUCAAGGGCUCAUAAUGACAUUCAUAUCUUUUCCAACUGAAAUCUGCUAU